UACGUAGGGGGCAAGCGUUGUCCGGAUUUAUUGGGCGUAAAGCGCUCGCAGGUGGUUCGUCGCGUCGUGCGUGAAAGACCCCGGCUCAACUGGGGAGGGUCGUGCGAUACGGGCGGACUGGAGGCCAGUAGGGGGGUGCGGAAUUCCGGGUGUAGUGGUGGAAUGCGUAGAGAUCCGGAGGAACACCAGCGGCGAAGGCGGCAUCCUGGACUGGUCCUGACACUCAGGAGCGAAAGCGUGGGGAGCGAUCCGG
rnacentral:rRNA from 1 species